rnacentral:rRNA from 1 species
CCUACGGGGGGCAGCAGUCGGGAAUAUUGCGCAAUGGAGGAAACUCUGACGCAGUGACGCCGCGUGCAGGAAGAAGGUUUUCGGAUUGUAAACUGCUUUAGAUAGGGAAGAAAAAAAUGACAGUACCUAUAGAAUAAGCUCCGGCUAACUACGUGCCAGCAGCCGCGGUAAUACGUAGGGAGCAAGCGUUAUCCGGAUUUAUUGGGUGUAAAGGGUGCGUAGAUGGAUAAACAAGUUGUUUGUGAAAUACCUCGGCUCAACUGAGGAACUGCAAGCAAAACUGUAUAUCUUGAGUACUGGAGGGG